CAGAAAAUAGUUUAGUAUAGAAUACCAGCUUUGGGAGUUGGCGGCGGAGGUUUGACUCCUCUUUUUCUGA
rnacentral:tRNA from 1 species